rnacentral:rRNA from 1 species
GACAGAGGGUGCAAACGUUGCUCGGAAUCACUGGGCGUAAAGGGCGUGUAGGCGGGACGGUAAGUCGGGCGUGAAAUCCCUAGGCUCAACCUAGGAACUGCACUCGAAACUACCAUUCUUGAGUGUCGGAGAGGAAAGCGGAAUUCCUGGUGCAGAGGUGAAAUUCGUAGAUAUCAGGAGGAACACCAGUGGCGAAGGCGGCUUUCUGGACGAUAACUGACGCCGAGACGCGAAAGCGUGGGGAGCAAACAGG